AUUGAACGCUGGCGGCAUGCUUUACACAUGCAAGUCGAACGGCAGCGGGGGCUUCGGCCUGCCGGCGAGUGGCGAACGGGUGAGUAAUGCAUCGGAACGUGCCCAUGUCGUGGGGGAUAACUACGCGAAAGCGUGGCUAAUACCGCAUACGCCCUGAGGGGGAAAGCGGGGGAUCUUUCGGGACCUCGCGCGAUUGGAGCGGCCGGUGUCGGAUUAGCUAGUUGGUGGGGUAAAGGCUCACCAAGGCGACGAUCCGUAGCUGGUCUGAGGGGAUGAUCAGCCACACUGGGACUGAGACACGGCCCAGACUCCUACGGGAGGCAGCAGUGGGGAAUUUUGGACAAUGGGCGCAAGCCUGAUCCAGCCAUGCCGCGUGAGUGAAGAAGGCCUUCGGGUUGUAAAGCUCUUUCGGCCGGGAAGAAAUCGCAUUCUCUAAUAUAGGAUGUGGAUGACGGUACCGGACUAAGAAGCACCGGCUAACUACGUGCCAGCAGCCGCAGUAAUAC
rnacentral:rRNA from 1 species